rnacentral:rRNA from 1 species
AAGGAAGGGAGUGUGUCUGCCUGCGGUGGCACAUAAGUUCAAGGUCGCAAGACUUUGAUGUUUACGCUUUUGUGUUUGACAGAGUUAUGAAUGGUGGCAUAAUAAGACAACUUUUAACAACGGAUCUCUUGGCUCCUGCAUCGAUGAAGAACGCAGUAAAGUGCGAUAUGUAGUGCGAUUUGCAUGAAUCUGUGAGUCAUCUAAUCUUUGAACGCAUCUUGCGCCCCUUCGGGGGCAUGUCUGUUUGAGUGCCACAUACCUAAUGGCAAUUAUUUUGCGAGAUGGCAAGUGAUGCUCGAUUUGUGGCAGCACUGGUCUAAAUUCAGCAGGUACAAAUGUGGUGGCUAGCAUAGGCUAGCUCAAGUGCUAAGCAUUCUUGGGCACUAUGGUGGUCAUAGAACAAGGGGGGUGGGCGGUGGUGAGCGGCAGGCAGGCUGCACGCCGGUUUGCUUGUUGCUUUCUUGCUGCUCGCUCCUCCUUUUUGAACUUUGGCCUCAAAUCAGGCAAGACUACCCGCUGAACUUAAGCAUAUCAAUAAGCGGAGGAA